UGCAGAGGUUGGGAAGCCUGGAGAGCCAUGGGUGGAGCCACGAGGCUGGGCUGGUGGGAGGCAGGCCCAGGUUGCCCUUGUCACUGUGAUGUGACACAUCCCACACUGGCCAGGAUGACUGAGAAGCACCCAUGGCUUUGUUUCAUCACCCCAAAAUCUCUUCCAGUGCAAACUGGCCCUUUAAAAGGAACCCACUGGUGUGUGUGUGGAGAGGGGAGCAGAGACAGAAAGGAAGUAAUAUUGAGUCGCAGCAGUCAAGAAGGAUCAAAGAUUGGCUAUUUUUGACACACAAAAGGGCACGUGGGGAUAAAGCAGCUCCUCAGGAGAUCUGUGGUGUCUCCCAGGCAGGGACCAGAGCUGAAGGUGAUGUGGAUGGCUGCCCUGGGAAGCAACGUGCUCCACGUGCAAGAAGCUAUAUCCAACUGUUCCACCGGGACUACCCCAUUAGGCUCAAUUCAGCAAAAUGCUCCCGAGCUUAAAUUCACCGGCAAAUCACUUAAACACAUGCUUAACUUUAAGCAAGAGCUUAAGUCCCAGGCAUUCAAACCAUUCAUGUGUGAUUUAUUCCUGUCCUUCUGGAGAGCAGAAGGAAUGUAACUUGGCCAAUCCACAGCCGAUAAGGAGGCAAAACCAAAGUGACAGACCGA